rnacentral:lncRNA from 1 species
CCCGUACAUCCAUCUGUCGUUCCUCACUGUUGCCGGGUUUGUUCACAAGUCUGGGCCUGCAUCCAUCGCGCUCUUGUACAACAAGGUGUCCCCGCGCCUGCAGAUCCUUGCGUUUUAGCUAGCUUGCAGUGCAAAUCACCGUGCAUGCAUGAUGUGUUGUAGUUUGAGAUGGGGGGUGCCAACGCAAGUGGUGCUAACUAAGCAUGAGGACGGGUCCUAGUGAUACUGAGAUACAAGAGGGGAGCUGACUUCAUUAAGACCAUUCCAGAAACUUGGUAUAUUCAUCUUUGAAUUCUGAGAUCUUACAUCUGGGUCGGUUCAGUUAACAGGACUUUUUUUUUUUUAAGUAUCGGUUAACAGGAUUUUUCAAGAAUAUAUAGGAAAAGUAAGAAUUGGAAUGUCUUCUCGAGGAUUGUUAUUUAAUUAAUUUAUUUCGUGUGCUGCCAUGUCGUAUAUAAAAGAGAGCACUUCUACUCAUGUACACCCCCUACUCUCACGAAAACACAUGGACAGUUAAGAUCACUUCGUACCCCUUCAUGAAAAAAAAGGACACGAUGUACAUUAAAUAAUAUCUCAUUCUCCUUUCCACCGGCUCUUGACAACACUCAGUGCUUUUGAGUUUGCUGCAUAUUGCGACAUUGGAUUGCCACUAAAUUUCAUGAGCUCGUAGUAGACACAAUCCCAUCGAAGGGAUCGACGAAAACAUUCUUG